UACGGGGGGGGUAAGCGUUGUUCGGAAUUACUGGGCGUAAAGGGCUCGUAGGCGGCCGUGCAAGUCUGGCGUGAAAGCCCCGGGCUCAGCCCGGGAAGUGCGCUCGAAACUGCGCGGCUCGAGUGCCGGAGGGGAGAGUGGAAUUCCUGGUGUAGCGGUGAAAUGCGUAGAUAUCAGGAGGAAUACCGGUGGCGAAAGCGACUCUCUGGACGGCAACUGACGCUGAGGCACGAAAGCGUGGGGAGCAAACAGG
rnacentral:rRNA from 1 species